GUGGGGAAUAUUGGGCAAUGGGCGAAAGCCUGACCCAGCAACGCCGCGUGAAGGAAGAAGGUUUUCGGAUUGUAAACUUCUGUCCUCAGGGAAGAAGGAAGUGACGGUACCUGAGGAGGAAGCCCCGGCUAACUACGUGCCAGCAGCCGCGGUAAUACGUAGGGGGCGAGCGUUGUCCGGAAUGACUGGGCGUAAAGGGCGCGUAGACGGCUGUCUAAGUCUGGAGUGAAAGUCCUGCUUUCAAGGUGGGAAUUGCUUUGGAGAAUGGAUGGCUUGAGUGCGGAAGAAGUAAGUGGAAUUCCCAGUGUAGCGGUGAAAUGCGUAGAGAUUGGGAAGAACACCAGUGGCGAAGGCGACUUACUGGGCCGUAACUGACGUUGAUGCGCGAAAGCGUGGGGAGCGAACAGGAUUAGAUACCCCGGUAGUCC
rnacentral:rRNA from 1 species